GACGAACGCUGGCGGCGUGCUUAACACAUGCAAGUCGAACGGAAAGGCCCUGCUUUUGUGGGGUGCUCGAGUGGCGAACGGGUGAGUAACACGUGAGUAACCUGCCCUUGACUUUGGGAUAACUUCAGGAAACUGGGGCUAAUACCGGAUAGGAGCUCCUGCUGCAUGGUGGGGGUUGGAAAGUUUCGGCGGUUGGGGAUGGACUCGCGGCUUAUCGGCUUGUUGGUGGGGUAGUGGCUUACCCAGGCUUUGACGGGUAGCCGGCCUGAGAGGGUGACCGGCCACAUUGGGACUGAGGUACGGCCCAGACUCCUACGGGGGGCAGCAGUGGGGAAUAUUGCACAAUGGGCGGAAGCCUGAUGCAGCAGCGCCGCGUGCGGGAUGACGGCCUUCGGGUUGUAAACCGCUUUCGCCUGUGACGAAGCGGGAGUGACGGUAAUGGGUAAAGAAGCACCGGCUAACUACGUG
rnacentral:rRNA from 1 species